AAAUUGAUUACUUUCUAUUAUAUUUUAGACAAAAUAGCAAAAAUGUUCCAUAUGGUUUGUUAUAUUUUUAAAUACGGCCUAAAUCUGUUUAAAAAUGUAGAUGUGGCCCUUUAUGUUGUGAAUAUGGUUAACGUUACUUAAAAUUGAAAUGUUUACAAAUGUAGAUGUGGCCCUUUAUGUUGUGAAUAUGGUUAACGUUGCUUAAAAUUGAAAUGAGUGUUGUACAUUUAAUACGGUUAUUUUCUAUUUUUUUAGAGCAAUUUGUAAAAAAGUCAGUAUAUUAUUAUAAAAUUUUGAAUUUGACAUUGAGUUUUUUCUUUUGUAAUUAUGUCAUUGUAUGUAUAAUUUUGUUGCAAUAUCGACCAUCGAUUAUGUUUGUUCUUAUGGUAACAACUUUUCCCGAAUUGCAAUAAAAUCAUUAUGUUUAUCAAAAUUGCGAUUUUAAUAUUGUGUUUUUUCUUAUUUAUGUCACUAUAUUUAUAAUUUUGUUGCAAUAAGAUUUAUCAACAAUUUUAUUUAUAAUAGUGAUUGAUCCACUUACGGGAGAGGUGUCUAAAAGGUUUACAUUGACUUGGUUGUUAGAUUUUAGAAAGGCUAUAUGCCGAAAUUGUAACAGCCCGGAUUUUCAGGUAUCUUUAUUGUUUAUGAUUUUGGUGUUUUGAGAGGGGACUCGGCGAGUCGGAGCUCAGACUCGCCGAGUAGGGACGCGAUUCUGGACGCGGGAUUCGCCUGGACUCGGCGAGUCCAGGAUAUGGACUCGGCGAGUCCGCACUGUUUAAUGAAACCCUAAUUUCUCGGGUUUGGGACCUAUUUAAAGGGGCCUUAUGGCCGUCAAUUGUACCCAGCAGUCCAUAGAGAGAAACCCUAGAGUGCUUUAGCGAUUUGAGAGAGAAAGGAAGCAUUUCUUGACCUUUGUGUGUUGUUUAGCAAAGAAGAGGGAAGUCCUAGCCAAGAGGAAGCAAAGGAGGUUGCUAUUCUGUGGAUUUGAAGCUUAGAUCAUCGAUCUAAAGGGAGAUUGUAGCUUGGAGGAUCGAGCUCGAGUGAUUUCGGGAUUUGCUAGCUAUCGAUAUUCACGAGGUGGGCCGGAAGGCAUUAUGUUAUGGGCGGGAAGGCGAAUAUGUUAUGGGCCGGAAGGCAUCGUAAUGUGGACCGAAGGGUUGGCGUGGGUAGGACCGGAAGGUUUACCCAGCAGGGACGAAAGUCCCCUGAGACACAUGGACCGGAAGGUACUAGUGAGGACCGUGGGAAGGCGUCGGCGUGAUCUGUACACACUGAUAGAUGAUUUAUGAUCUUGGGAUUCAUAUGAUUUGUAUUAUGACAUGAUACGUUGGAUAUUUAUGCCUUGUUUUGGAUGAAAAUACAUUUUUAGAAAUUAAAAACUUGUUUUAAA